rnacentral:lncRNA from 1 species
GCACCACUAUGCCAGGCUAAUUCUUGUAUUUUUAGUAGAGACAGGGUUUUGCCAUGUUGACCAGGCUGUUCUCAGACUCCUGACCGCAGGUAAUCGCCCUCCUUGGCCUCCCACAGUUCUGGGAUUACAGGCAUGAGCCACCACAUCCGGUGAGAUCUGAUUGUUUAAAAGUUUUGCAGCACCUCUCACUUCACUCUAUUCUUCCUUCCCCAGCCAUGUAAGACAAUCCUGCUUCCCUUUUGCCUUCUACCAUGAUUUUAAGUUUCCUGCGACCGCCCCAGCCAUGCUUCCUGUAAAGCCUGCAGAACUAUUUUUAGACUGUGUUUGACCACAGGCAACUGAAACCGUGGAAUUCAAAACGAUGGAUAAGGGUAACUACUGCCCACACACAUUAAAAAGUCAAAGGUGUCAUUCUUUGUUGUCAUGUUUGACUACUAGAGUCUGUGUACCAUGAGGGCAGCAGCUGUCACAUUCGUGCCUGGUACAAAGUAGAGAGCCGCUAACAGAAUACUGGCCUGAAGGCAUGAAUGAAUCAAUAGCAGGUAAGUGGGGAAACUCCCAGGAUUGAAUGCAAAUACUGAUUAUAAAGAAUUAGUCCUGAAGGUGGAAUCCUUCUCCUCUGCUGACAAGGCAAACAAAGCCAAUUUUUGGGAAAAUGACAUUAUAAAUAACAUUAGUGGUGGAAUUUAGUGGACAAAUGAGACAGCCCAUGUAAAAAGACAAAAAUUUCUCUAUGUGAAGUUUUAGAUUAUUUUUGCUGAAUGUAAAAUUCUUUUAUAUAUGUUUAUACAAAGGAAUAUUUUAUUAUAUAGGCAGAAAUGCAGGAUAGGGAACUUUGAAAAAGAAAAGCAAUUGAAAUUCUGUACG